rnacentral:rRNA from 1 species
ACGGGUGCGUAACGCGUGGGAAUCUGCCCAGAGCUACGGAAUAACUCCUCGAAAGGGGUGCUAAUACCGUAUGAUGUCGCAAGACCAAAGAUUUAUCGGCUUUGGAUGAGCCCGCGUAGGAUUAGCUAGUUGGUGGGGUAAAGGCCUACCAAGGCGACGAUCCUUAGCUGGUCUGAGAGGAUGAUCAGCCACACUGGGACUGAGACACGGCCCAGACUCCUACGGGAGGCAGCAGUGGGGAAUAUUGGACAAUGGGCGAAAGCCUGAUCCAGCAAUGCCGCGUGAGUGAUGAAGGCCUUAGGGUUGUAAAGCUCUUUUACCCGGGAAGAUAAUGACUGUACCGGGAGAAUAAGCCCCGGCUAACUCCGUGCCAGCAGCCGCGGUAAUACGGAGGGGGCUAGCGUUGUUCGGAAUUACUGGGCGUAAAGCGCACGUAGGCGGCUUUGUAAGUUAGAGGUGAAAGCCUGGAGCUCAACUCCAGAAUUGCCUUUAAGACUGCAUCGCUUGAACGUCGGAGAGGUGAGUGGAAUUCCGAGUGUAGAGGUGAAAUUCGUAGA